UUCACACACCACCACACAACAUGGCUGAAGAAUUUCUUCACAUAAACAAAAAGACUAAAAUGGACUUUGAUGAAGAUGAACAUACCGAUGACUCCGAUAAUGACACUGACUGCUUAGUGUCUGAUUCUGAUCGGGAUUCUGACACUAUUGAAGAGGACAAAAUAAUUCUGGAAAAUAGGCGUAUUUAUCAUCAUAUUAAAUGGACAACAAGCGAUGUAAUUCAAAAGAAAUUUGAAGCAGAAAUUGGACAAUGGAAAAAAAUUACCAGAUGCCAUAUAAUCGGAAAAUUAGAAAAAGACGCAGAACUGAAAAAUGUGUGCGCUGCAGCUGAGUUAACAGUUGGGAGACUCCGUGCCUUCGUUAACAUGUUUCAAAUGACCCGACUGAAGAAGUGAUUGCAAUUUUACAGUUGCCAUGUGUUUGGCUUGAUGUAAAAGGAUUG